rnacentral:rRNA from 1 species
CAGCAGCCGCGGGAAUACGAAGGGGGCUAGCGUUACUCGGAAUUACUGGGCGUAAAGGGCGCGUAGGUGGCACGAUUAGUCAGGCGUGAAAUUCCUGGGCUCAACCUGGGGACUGCGCUUGAUACGGUCGAGCUAGAGGAUGGAAGAGGGUUGUGGAAUUCCCAGUGUAGAGGUGAAAUUCGUAGAUAUUGGGAAGAACACCGGUGGCGAAGGCGGCAACCUGGUCCAUUACUGACGCUGAGGCGCGACAGCGUGGGGAGCAAACAGGAUUAGAUACCCCCGUAGUCCCUGUCUCUUAUAC